AUCGCUUCUCGGCCCUUUGGCUAAGAUGAAGUGUAGUAUCUGUUCGUGUCAGUUUAAUAUUUGUCACUCCUGGAAUGUCCCAGGGCCAGCUCUU
rnacentral:snRNA from 1 species